rnacentral:lncRNA from 1 species
UUUUUUUUUUUUAAUUGAGUGAAAUUAUGUUGUAGACUGUAGAUUAAUUUUGCCAGGGCUAGCUAAAAGGAGUGAGAUCAUUCCAUGAGUCCUUGGAUAUAAUGUCACCUCUAAGCAGGAUAUGGCAGUGCCGAAAAGUCAACCUCAGAGGUCUGCAACUAGACAGGAAUUGCUACUUAAACACUGUACUCCAAAGAGACAUAAAUGUGACUAAAGCAUCCAAUUUGUAGUAAUGUGGGGCUAUCUUGGGGUUUCAAGCUCCUCUAUAACAAAUUUUAUCUUGGACCACAAAACAUUCUAGGCCUAUUUCAUUGGCUUAUCUAGAGCAAGAUUUUAUAGAAGAAAGGGAAAAAUACAUAUAGAAGUCUUGCGUAUAUUUCAAUUUAUUCAAAUAUGUUAUAUUAAUGUACUAAAUAUAAACAUAAAAUGUACUACUAUAAUGUACUAUGGUACUCUAUAACCAUAAUAUAUAAUGAUGUCAAUAUAUUUAGUAAACAAAUAAGGAUAAAAACAAUUGAGAUUGUGUUGGUACACAAAUAUCAGAAGUUAGUUAUCAUUUAUACCACAACUCAUUCUAGAAUAUGAACUGCAUCUGCCUUCCUCACCUACCUAUGUCACCUAGUAACAAAAAUACAACAACAUAAAAAAAAACACAAAGAAAACAAACUGGAAUUCAUCUACUUGUGUUAGCAGUCUCUGAGGGAGUUGCUAUGUUCUAUAACAUAACACAGCAGUUGAUUCAUAAGUGAUCAAGAAAAGUUCAAAUUAUCUACUUUAUAUAAACACAACUAAGAAAUCAAAAGAAGUCUAAUACAACUUAUGACCAUUUCUAUGAAAUUAUUAAGGCAAAACACAGCAAGGGGUCAAUUUCACCUGGAAAAUCCAUUAAUGUAGAACACCUCAUUCUUCAAUGAUGUGUCAUCAUACUUACAUUAUUUCACAUAUUUAAGAUAAGUCAGGGGAAUUCUGAGAGGCUAAGGGAAAUGAUUAGUCUAAGAAAUUCCUGAGAAGAAAUGAGGUUUCAGGUUUUCAAAUUAGGGAAGUAAAAUCCUAAGAGUCCCCUUGAGGUAGAUGUGAAGAGGGCACUUGGGUGUCAUUUACAGAGCUGCCGGUCAACGGAUCUGCCCUUGGAGAGACAGGCAUCUGGGAGAGCUCUGAUGCAUGAGUCUUUCUCCCCUGGUCAGGAACUGGAGACAGGUGAUUGCCCUCAUAACCAAAACACAGCUGACUGUUCCUCAUCAGUGCCACACAGAGCUCUAGUCAUCCAUCAUCACUGCCAUAGAGCCCCAGACCAGAGGAAUGAGUGGAAAGAAAACCAGAGGCCCUGAGAGCAUGUCCUACUUUCUCCACUAGUUACUGCAGGAAAAAGGCAAUUCCACAGCGAAUUCACUAAUUCAUCCAGGUAUUAGAAAAUAGAUCUCAUACUAAUCCCAAAUGGGAAGGAGAAAAAGAAAGGAAUUAACAAUUAUCUAUCAAGUGUGUACACUAUAAUAACAUUUAUAAUAAUGAUUUUGACUGUUCUCAGGUACUUUACAUGGCUCUUUAAACCCAUCAUCUAAUUUAAUCUUUAAAAUAAUCCUACAAGGUAAGUAUUAUUAUAUCUACUGUACAUGUAAGAAAACUGAAAUUUAGAAGGUUAAGAAUUCUUUCCCAAGAUCACAAUGUUAGUAAAACUGGAAAAUUGGGAUUCAAACUGAUUCUGACUGCACUAACCAGUAAUGGUGAGCAUAAAUAGCAAGGUAGAGAUGUGAAUCUCUGGUUUGGGGGUCUCUGGGUUGCUCUCUUUCUCUAACACUUCAGCUAGCACACUAGCUCCACUUUCUACAUCACACACGCAGGAGUCCACGAUUAUUAGAAAGAGAAGGACUCCUUUGAGUUUUGACCCUUUGAGAGGAUUACAGUCCCCAUUGAGAAUUGAAUGAGUACUAUGGUUCUUUACCCCCAGAAAACCAAAGUACUUGUUACUCACUGUAGUUGUAUCCUAUAAAGUCACCAGAGAAACUGAACUAGUGAAUACUCAACCAUCAUGCCUAGGGGAAAUAUAAGGUUAGGUCACCCCGAGCCUCUAGACACAACAUUUUCAACAACCAAUCAAUAUAUAACCUUGUUCUAUGUAUGUUUCUGUUUAAAGAAACCUCAUUUCGAUAUAUAUUGUUGAUUCAUUAACAUUGAACGUGCAGCCAGCAGCAGCACAACUCAUGCCAGAAUGAAGCUCGUCUAACUAACACAUAUUUUCUCUGUAAGGCGCAUAACAGCCUUCUGGUGCUUAGGACUAGACAACACUUUAGCACUAUGCUUGGGGGGCAUUUCAAACAGUGCAAAUCACCGAUAAAAAGCAUAAAAAAGUGAAAAAUGUGGCACCAUACUGACCGUGAAAAAGACACUUGUUUGCAUUAUAAGAGCUCAAAUAAGACAGGAGAGUAUCACCUGGAUGGGCCUCAGCUGGGUGUAUGUGUUGGGCAACUUAGAAUUUUUUGCUGCUCUCUGCAUGUCUCUGAAUCACUACAGAAGUGCUGUGAAUACUGAUUUGGGGCUUACAGAAACUUUUACUGAGUAGGCAAAUUUGCACAUAGAGAACCCAUGGAGGAUGAGCACUGAGCACGUGAAUGUAAGGUUUCUAUUAAGUCCAUAAGCUAUACAGACUGUCCCAUUUAUUGCUUGAUCUAGAUCAACUCACUUUGCACGUAGGUUCCUGAAUAUCGGGAGAACACCGGAGCAUAAAAAUGAGCUAUAGCUUUGAGUAAAAAAGAAAAUGCCAACAAGAUUCCUAAAACAAGUGACCCAUGAAUUUUAGUGAAACUGAUUUUUUAAAUUAAACAAAUAAAUUAAACUUUACUAUUAUUUGAAAGUUCAGGAAAUAUAUAAUGUUUGCUAGCUACUAUAUUAACUCUUUAAAAUCACCAGCAUUACCUUCAGCUAAUUUCUGCUCUACGCUUUAAAAGAUACUUUUGUGCUUAAGAAAAUAAUCUUAGAGAAACUGAACUAGAUUCUGAUUAAUAGUUCAUUUUGAUGAUAAGAGAAAGCAGACAUAACUGAAUGCCUUUAAUUUUGGUCUCCCAAACAAUGCAUUAUUAUACCAGUUAGCUGCACUCUCAACCUAAACAAGUUUGCUGUUGUAAGUCCUAGAAACCUGAUCAUGAGCGCAUACUGACAAAGAACAAUAUAGAAUGGAAAGAUGAAAUCACUCACUCACCCAAGGGGUCUCUAAUCUCAGUAGACGUAGCCAUAAAAUAAUAGGGAGUGGAGACAUAGGCAAAAAAAAAAAAAAAAAAAAA